rnacentral:rRNA from 1 species
AAAUUGAAGAGUUUGAUCAUGGCUCAGAUUGAACGCUGGCGGCAGGCCUAACACAUGCAAGUCGAGCGGAAACGAGUUAUCAGAACCUUCGGGGAACGAUAAUGGCGUCGAGCGGCGGACGGGUGAGUAAUGCCUAGGAAAUUGCCCUGAUGUGGGGGAUAACCAUUGGAAACGAUGGCUAAUACCGCAUGAUGCCUACGGGCCAAAGAGGGGGACCUUCG